rnacentral:lncRNA from 1 species
GAUCUUAGACUGCUUCUAGUAAGACUGCUCCUGGAUCUUCUUACUUUGGUGCUUCAUCUUGGGUAUACAAGAAUAUGAAAUUCCUAUUUUGAUCUCUGAGUGGAUUUUUAAGUCAUGGAUCACAAUUCUUCUUGGUUCGGCAUCACUUCUACCUGCCAGGGGAUGUAAGAUGGCUUUGCUCUUCCUGUGAGUACUGAAUGGAUGGCUAUCCAACUUUCAUCUUUUGAUCAGGUCCAUCAAAACUGAAACUGACACCUGUGCUCCCGCCAGUACUGAUUUAUCACCAAACCCUUAAGUUUGCUCUCAGUAUGAAUUCAGCUCAAUUUAUCUGACACACUGGGCAUGAUCUGUCAUAGUUCCACCUCUCUCUUGCCUCCCUGUUGUGAAUGUGAAGCACCUGAUUAGAAAUUUCAUAUUCUCAGUUUCCCUUUUUCCCAGUUUUAUAAGUGGGAGAUAGAAGGAGGAAUGACAAAGAAAAGUGAUAACUUCAGAAUAGUACUUUCCCCUUUUUAAUAAGACCAUUCUUAAAAAUUUAGAGCUGAAAGGGUCCUUAAAACAUAUACCACAGAAUGUCAGAAGGCUCUGG